AAUCAAGCUAAACAAAUCAUGAUCAUAUUUAAAAUCUUUCAUUUAUUUCUUACUUUGAGCACUCCAAACCUAAUUUAAUGGGAGUUCUUUACGACCACGCACAUGUAGUUUAAGUGAAUUAAUUAUAUAUCAGUUAGCAUGAGCUAAUAUAACUCUUAAUUCUUAUUCCAUUAUGAGAAAGAGAGUUAAUAUGAAAGGGAAGAGCCAUCUCCUCAUUUAUAUAGCCUUUUUAUAAAUAAAAUAUCAUCAAAAGAUGGCUUGUGGACAUAAUAAAAAGAGGGGGUAUAGUCCAUACUUCUUUCAUCAUUAAUUGUAAAUGGUUUCCCUCGGAAGCUAUGUAUUGAAUGAAUUUCUUGAAAAGAACAGAAUGUCCACAUUUUAUACAAGUGAAGUGAUAUAUUAAUUUUCCUGCUUAAAAUAAAUAUCAUACCAAAGUCUGUACAAUUGGGUUGAGUCUGAGUAAUAUUAUUA
rnacentral:misc_RNA from 1 species